GACGAACGCUGGCGGCGUGCUUAACACAUGCAAGUCGAACGGAAAGGCCCUGCUUUUGUGGGGUGCUCGAGUGGCGAACGGGUGAGUAACACGUGAGUAACCUGCCCUUGACUUUGGGAUAACUUCAGGAAACUGGGGCUAAUACCGGAUAGGAGCUCCUGCUGCAUGGUGGUGGUUGGAAAGUUUCGGCGGUUGGGGAUGGACUCGCGGCUUAUCAGCUUGUUGGUGGGGUAGUGGCUUACCACGGCUUUGACGGGUAGCCGGCCUGCGAGGGUGACCGGCCACAUUGGGACUGAGAUACGGCCCAGACUCCUACGGGAGGCAGCAGUGGGGAAUAUUGCACAAUGGGCGGAAGCCUGAUGCAGCAACGCCGCGUGCGGGAUGACGGCCUUCGGGUUGUAAACCGCUUUCGCCUGUGACGAAGCGUGAGUGACGGUAAUGGGUAAAGAAGCACCGGCUAACUACGUG
rnacentral:rRNA from 1 species